UACGGGGGGGGUAAGCGUUGUUCGGAAUUACUGGGCGUAAAGGGCUCGUAGGCGGCCAACUAAGUCGGACGUGAAAUCCCUCAGCUUAACUGGGGAACUGCGUCCGAUACUGGAUGGCUUGGAUUUGGGAGAGGGAUGCGGAAUUCCAGGUGUAGCGGUGAAAUGCGUAGAUAUCUGGAGGAACAUCAGUGGCGAAGGCGACACCCUGGACUCAUACUGACACUGAGGUGCGAAAGCGUGGGGAGCAAACAGG
rnacentral:rRNA from 1 species